rnacentral:tRNA from 1 species
CUCCUCGUAGUUCAAUGGAUAGAACGAGUGCCUCCUAAGCGCUAGAUCCAGGUUCGAUUCCCGGCGAGGGGACCA